AAAAAAAAAAAAAAAAAAAAACACGAGACCAGUACAAAAUCAUUUCACAAAUGAUAGAAGGAAAAAAGAAAAAUAAAAUUUAUUUUCGUUUGCCUAACAAUCAUUAUUACACAAUUCUGUAUUCACAAACACGUACAACAGCAGCAGCAGCAGCAACACCAAAACCAAAACCAACAACAGCCACAGCAGGCAAGCAUGGGAGAGAACAAACCAGCAGAAAUUAAAGAUUUCCAGAUUGUAAUUGCAGACAAAGAAGAGCAAAAGAAGCAGUUAGCUCCAAAAAGAAGCUCAAACAAGGACCGACACACCAAGGUUGAAGGUAGAGGAAGGAGGAUAAGGAUGCCAGCUCUUUGUGCAGCAAGAAUCUUUCAAUUGACCAGAGAACUGGGUCACAAAUCUGAUGGGGAAACAAUACAGUGGUUGUUACAACAAGCUGAACCAUCGAUCAUUGCUGCAACUGGGACAGGAACAAUACCGGCAUCAGCCUUGGCAGCUGCUGGUGGAUCAGUUUCGCAGCAAGGGACCUCUCUGUCAGCUGGAUUGCACCAAAAGAUUGAUGAAUUAGGUGGGUCCAGUAGUAGUAGGACCAGUUGGGCAAUGGUAGGUGGCAAUUUAGCCAGACCUCACCAUGUGGCAACAACAGGAUUAUGGCCCCCAGUGGGUGGAUUUGGGUUCCAGUCAUCAUCUACCACUGGUCCAGCAACAACAAAUUUAGGGACUGAGGGUUCUAGUUAUUUGCAAAAAAUUGAGUUUCCUGGGUUUGACUUGCCAGGAAAUAAUAUGGGUCCUAUGAGUUUUACCUCAAUUUUGGGUGGGACUAACCAGCAGAUACCUGGGUUGGAGCUUGGUUUGUCACAGGAUGGCCAUAUUGGGGUUUUGAACCCGCAGACUUUGAGUCAGAUUUAUCAGCAGAUGGGGCAGGCAAGAGUGCAACAGCAACAGCAGCACCAACAGCAGAAUCCUGCUGAGGAUGAUUCUCAAGGUUCAGGACAGUAAUAGCAGUUCAGGGUAGGCAUUCUUGAUGUUGAGAGAGGCCGAGUGAUUUUUGUAGUGGUUUUUGUGCUGUAAAAUUGGUCCAAAAAAAAAAAAAGAUACAAAAGAGAAUUCAAUAGGAACUGGUUUGGUUUGCCUCUUACUCUCCCCUUCAUCACCCAUAUCUCCAUAUACAGGUGGAAUUGUGCAUAGCCAAAUAGUUUGGGUUUGGGCUUAACUUCUUAUCUAAUUCAGAGAGGUGUGUUGAUUAUAAUUUAAGGCAUCUUUAAUUGUUUUGUUCUUAUCUUGGUCUGGAUGAACUGGUGAUCAGUUUGUUUGUGAGCUUAAAUAGUCAUUUAGUCGUUGAAUUCCUUUUAGAUCUUGAAAGCUUCUUAAUUAUCUGGUGGAAAAAAAAAUUUUUUUUCCAAAGGGGCAGCUAAUUUUCUCCAUUUGAGUGCCUGCUAUAUCCAUUUUACUUGCUAUCCUGUUUCUGGAAUGAUUCUCUCUAGUUAUCACCUUAUAAUUCUUCCCAAAAAAAUGCAUUUUUUUCUUUGCAACUUUGUCCUCAAGGCCCAUCUGCGUCUUUCUUUUUGUCUCAGUACUUGUCUUCAUCAAAGAAUCUUCAGUUUAGGAAUGUAUACCAUCCUCUUAUUUCAUGCCUAGGAGAACACAUAAAUUUUCUGUUAGGUUGUUUAUCACCUGGUCAUGUUAAUCCUUUUUCCAUUCAGUAUAAACUCAAAAUUUUGGUUCUUCUUGUAAUGUUUGAAAUGGGUGUGUGUUUUUUACCGUCAGAGUUAAAUUGUAAAUAUGAGCAUUGACCUUCUAGAGGAUUGCCAUAAUCACAGUUCUUCCUGCAAUUUUUGAAAUUGGUGUGAGUUCUUAUUAAAACUAGACAGCUCCAGUAGGAUUGCCAAUUUUUGGCUUUUCUCACAACCAUACAAUUUAGAUAGUCUUAAUAUUUCAAACCGGGAUAAUUUCCCUCUUAAUCUGUGCAAAUUUCAAAUUUUUAAAUGAACUGUCCAUCUCAUUGGUGUCCAACUGUCAAUCAUAGUCAAUUUGUGGUGCCUUUGCCUUUCCAAACUUUCGAGAAGUUAAGAACCAGUUUUCAUGAGACAAGAACCUUUAUGUACAACAUCUGACAACACCAUUAGCCAUGAAAUCCUACUCUCUCUCCACAUAAGUACAAAUCUUAGUAAACAUGAAGUUAGAAAUAUAUUUAUGUAGACCAACUAAAUCUGUUAUUAAAAUCCACUUAGCAUUUCUGUCUGCUAAAGCUUGUCAGGCAUUCAUCUUUGCCUUAAAUCUCUGAUUUUGCAAAAUUACUUUAUUUUAAUUUGUAGUUUGAGUGGAUAUCCAUGUCUCAAGUCUCAAGAUGUUGCCUUGGUAUAUGGCCAGGAGCUGUGGUGUAGAGUUCCCUGAAUUGUUGGAGUCAAGAUUUAUUAGUGUGCGAUUAGUACAUGGUGAUUGUAUCCUGUAUUUGAAGUAUGACAUCUUGGAAUGGAGUAUCAUGUGGAAGCAACAUUUUCUUGAUAACCAUUUGAACUUUGGACUGUCUUCAGCAAAUUAGAUAGUGUUUUUCAGUAUCCGUGCUCAAGAAUGAAAUGGUUGGAAAUUGUAGAACACUAGAACUUUUCUUUGAAUAUGUUUGAUUUUCAAAUUCCUCAUCUUUAUGAUCGAGUGUUCCAUUGGCUAUUUCAUGACAUAUACAUCAUAUCAUUUAUCCUUAUCUCUUGUGGUACCAGAAUAUUUUCGGCUCAUAAUGUGUGCUUCUUCAAGUUCAAUACAUUAGGAAUCAUGUUGAUUGAUUACUUGUCCAUGCGAGAAUAGAUGAGGUUUUCAUAUUAAUAGUUGUUUUUGUUUGUUCUAUUUGUGGACCUAUUGUGUUGUUGAUCUUUCUUUUCACUUUAAUUUCUUCUGUGGAGAUUUACAGAAAUAUGAAAGAUGAAGUAUUAGUACAGUGAUUUGUCUAUUUGUGAAAAUCGUUAACCUUCAGAGAACAAUCAUGCGUAAGUGAUGAAUCCAAUGAAGUUUGUCUGAAAGGUCCUUGACAUAAUUUUGUAGAGUAAAACGUCAUGAACUGGAAAAGAACAAGUAGAGAAGAUGUGCUAUUAGUAUUUUUAACAAAAUGUGUAACAAAUGGUAGGUCUACGUGCAUAUUGUCCAUCAGAUUGAUAUUACCAUGCAGCUUACAUGCUGCGUAGAUUAUAGGGUUGAGGUCUUUUGCAUGUUUUGAAAUUUGAAAUCUUAAAAUUGAUAUUCAGGGAAGAAGAUACUGUUCAUCACUGACUUUCUUGUCUGAAUUAUUCAUGUGGUUGGCAAUGAAAUCUGUGUUCUCAUCUAUUCUUCUCAGUAGGGUUUCUUUCUGCUCUCUCCCUGUGAUUUGUUUGGCAGCCCCUUUAUUGAAAGGACAUCUGCCUUUGAAGACUCACAUAUGACGUUGGAUGUCAUGUGGUAUUUGAUUGAACGCGCUGCUGGACCACCAAUGUAGUUUUGGUCCUACAAAACUCUGCCUUAUUGUUACUUGCCUUGUUUUAUUGAUAGAUUCAAGAAAUCUAUGCCGGUUUAUUGACAAUGAAUUUCCAUGAGCAAAACCAAAAGGGUUCGCACUAGAAUCUCACUUGAAGUCUAAGAGUUGUCAUUAAGAUGUUUGAUAUCAAACAACUCAUUUGAAGCUUCUAUAUAUUCCUUCAAUUGCCUGUGUCAUUUCUUGCUUGUCAAUGCUAUAAACAUUGAGACAAUUAGGUGUUAGUUUACAAUGAACUCCUUGAUGUAUUUGGAGCAGAUUUUAUGCUCCAUGGAAAUGAGAAUUUAUGAACUCUUCUUUGACAAAACACACCAUAUCUGGGUUAUGAAGCUUAAUUUUAACUAUUCUGAAUUGUUUCCUCAAUCCUUCCACUUCCAUGUACCCUUAAACCUUAUCUCAUUUGAAACCCAUCUUAGCAAUUCCAUCAUCUUGGCUCUCGUUCUACUAAUUUCAAUCACCAUUCAACAGGUUGAUUCCAUUCUGUUCAUGUACAGAGCUUAAGCAGUGUUAGAUCUUAUUGCCUGAUCAUAAUCUUUGCUUUUGUCACAACUGAGGGAAUGCUUGUACAUUUAAUGAUCAAUUGAUUGUUGUGGUUGAAGAAAUAUGUGCUUAGCUUGGAUUCAAAUCUGCCAGGAAACAUACAUGAUAUGCCAUGUUUAGCCUAAUAAGGCCAGCAAGUACAUAGAUUUCACAAAAUGGGUAUAACUCCAAGGACUUGGCUAUUUCUGUGAAAUUUCACAAUGGGGUCAACAUUUCUAUGCUCUUUUUCCUCUUUUACGAAAGUUCUUGUUAAUUCCUGAUGGUACUGUUUCCAUCCUGGGAUUCUUACAAUAUAUCUCUUGGAUUCAAAUUUAAAGACGAAUAAUCUGACAUUGGACAUUGUCUUGUCUCUGUAACUUUUAGGACAUGAAGUUAAUGCCAUGACACUCAAUUUUGAGGUCAAUAAAUGCCAAUACACUGCAAAAAUAGAUGUGCCAUUCAGCCAUAGGUAGUAUGCUGUUUGAGGAAUUUGAAUGAAAGGUUUUGAAGAAUUUAUGGAUUUUGGGACAUUUUGUUUAUUUGAUUAAAUAUUAAAAAAAAAAA
rnacentral:misc_RNA from 1 species